rnacentral:misc_RNA from 1 species
UAGAUGGCACUGUGGAUGUGGGCUG